GCCGCCGUUGCACAGCCUGGUUAGUGCGCCCGGCUCAUAACCGGGAGGUCCCGGGUUCAAAUCCCGGCGGCGGCACCA
rnacentral:tRNA from 1 species